rnacentral:lncRNA from 1 species
UCAGAUUAGAAUCUUCAUGGCCAUGGAGAUAUUCUCACUAAUGGAAAUAUACAAAUGUGAGCGGACUCUCUGAGUGAGGGACAUGAGGUCGCCUUCAGGUCCCUUGAAGACCUAGAAGGCAAAAAGACUCAGAAGGACAGAUUUUAAGAUGGCAGACUGAAACAUCAAGACCAGUUAUAAGACGGGAAGUCACAGAGUUUAUGCAAUGGUGAAUCAGCCAAGCUC